AUGACGCCAUACCUCUAUGCGGCGCUGAAUACUAAGCAGGCUAGGCACAGACUCCUGCGGUGCGCCUGCGCCUGCGCCUGUUUGCUCCGCCCUGCGGUCUUCGUCCUGGCCGCGGCGCUCGCGAGCUGCGGUGGGACUGCGCUGGGGGUCGCUGUGCUGCGGAAGCUCGGCUCCGCCCCCUCCGGCGACAGCCGGGGAAGCUUUGUUUUUGUGACGCAGCGCACUGGUCGUCUUCUGACAGGGUGGCGGGAACUUUCGCGGAGGCCCGUUUAUCCUCCGUUUCGAAGUUGCCAACUUUUGUUGGAUUUCCCUGCUUGUAGCCUUUACGUAGUCAUUACGCUAGGCAAGCUUCUGUUUAGGCUAAGCCUGUGCCUCUUGAGUGCCUGCUCUGAAGAAGGUGAUAAGAAUGCUGGGCAAGUUUCAGCUCUUUCUUCUCCAUCCUGGAUCUCAGAAAACAUAGACCAAAACACCUUGUUGUUUGUGGCAAGGAACUUAUGAGGCAGCAGGAGAUGUUCAUGUUCUGGGUGUCCUGGGUAUGUAACAGGAAUCCCGGAAUGUAGCUGGUAUGGUGGGCACACAAGCAUUUAGCA
rnacentral:lncRNA from 1 species